GGGUCCAUAGCUCAGUGGUAAAGCAUUUGAUUGCAAAUCAAGAGGUCACCAGUUCGAACCUGGUUGGGCCUU
rfam:Ipomoea nil DNA, scaffold: scaffold2036, cultivar: Tokyo-kokei standard.